UGCCUAACACAUGCAAGUCGAACGCGAAAGUCCCGCAAGGGAUGAGUAGAGUGGCAAACGGGUGAGUAACACGUGGGUGACCUGCCUUCGAGUGGGGGAUAACGUCCCGAAAGGGACGCUAAUACCGCUUAAUAUGCCGCCUUUUAACAGGUGGACAUCAAAGCUGGGGAUCGCAAGACCUAGCGCUUGAAGAGGGGCCCGCGUCUGAUUAGCUAGUUGGUGGGGUAAUGGCUCACCAAGGCAACGAUCAGUAUCCGGCCUGAGAGGGCGGACGGACACACUGGGACUGAGACACGGCCCAGACUCCUACGGGAGGCAGCAGUGGGGAAUUGUUCGCAAUGGGCGCAAGCCUGACGACGCAACGCCGCGUGGAGGAUGAAGACCUUCGGGUCGUAAACUCC
rnacentral:rRNA from 1 species